rnacentral:rRNA from 1 species
ACGUAAACAACCUGCCUUCAGGAUGGGGGACAACAGACGGAAACGACUGCUAAUACCGAAUAAGUUCCAAGAGCCGCAUGGCCCAUGGAAGAAAAGGUGGCCUCUACCUGUAAGCUAUCGCCUGAAGAGGGGUUUGCGUCUGAUUAGCUGGUUGGAGGGGUAACGGCCCACCAAGGCGACGAUCAGUAGCCGGUCUGAGAGGAUGAACGGCCACACUGGAACUGAGACACGGUCCAGACUCCUACGGGAGGCAGCAUG